UAUAUAUAUAUAUAUAUAUAUAUAUAUAUAGUAAUACUAUAUGGUGUCCUGGGUAGCCCUCUCCCACCGAGCUGCUCGCACCGCGUUCCGCUGGUUUUUUCUUUCGGUUUUUUUGGCUCGUUUUUUCUUAGUCGAUCCCACGUUUCCGAACUAAUCUAGAUCGUGUCUCCUCGGUCCGUUCAGUUCCUGGCAUUGCCGGUUCCAUAGUCGCCGCCCUCGCUCUGCCAACCGCGGCAGCGAUGUGCCGACCCCGGCCGCGACUCAUCGCUGCCGGCGCAAGGUGCCACUCAUGCCCUCGGCCACCCGAUUCCAGCACCCCAACGCCGCUAGCUUGCAAGUUGUUCUCAGUUCAUCCGCACAUCGUCAUCUUCAAUCCAGCAUUGGAAGGACUCCGUUGCCUGAAGAACAAAGCUGCUGCAGAUUUCGUUGGUCUUCGCCAUCGGUGAGCCCCGCCUCCAUUUGAAUUCUGAGUUCGCUGAUUCCCAGCAAGAGAUGAUCCUGAUUUGAUCUCCUCCGCACCUUCCAAUGGAGUCGCCUUCUUUAUCCGUGGCCAGCCGUCGUAUGUUUCCUGCCUGUGGCUGAGCUCGCGCGCGUCAGCAGAUCACUCCUCCAAGCCUUCCUCCUCCCGCUGUCCGUCUCAAACACCUUGCUGGUCGAGUAUCUGCUCGACAAUCUCCCCGCAGAUGCUCAUCUCGAGAUCAGCAUCUUAUCCAUCGAUCUCACCCACCCAUUCCUCUCCAGGUUCGGCAGUCGGCACCAAGAUUCUGUGGUGGCAUCAAUAGACGCGCAUGUGGAAUUUCAGUUACAGCUGGACUGCAGGAGCUUGGUCAAGUUGCUGACAUAUGACGUGAAGGUCAUGGCAGCAACCAGUGGUCAGCAUGGUUGCAGCAGGUUAUCGUGAUGGGCGACCCAACCGCACAGGCAUAAUAUUUAUUUGGGUGCACAUGUGCUGCUGCAUCUUAGAUGUAAGUACUCGUGCCUGAUGGAGGAUAUGAGUAAUGUCUGACGAACUUCCUGCAGUAACCUGCAAGACCCAAGAAGCUCCUCAAUUCUUUGGCAUUAGUUGGUUGUGGCCAAUUUGUAAUGGAGGUGAUCUGUCUCUGGCCAAAAGAACACUUGGAUAGUUUAACUUGCCAUUGGUCAGCAGCCAGCAAUUGGAGUACAGCUCUGAGGUGGGCAAGAUGCUCUUCGAAGGUUUUGCUGUAUACUAAGAUGUCAUCGAAGAAGACCAGAACACAUUUCCUGAGCAAUGGCUUGAGAGUCGAGUUCAUAGCGCCUUGGAAAGAAGCAGGAGCCCCACAUAAUCCAAAUGACAUCACCAUGAAUUCAAAAUGACCAAAGUGAGUUUGGAAGGCUGUUUUGAAUUCCUCUCCAGAUUUCAUUCGGAUUUGGUGAAAGCUAGAAUUAAGGUCCAGGGAAGAAAACCAACUUGCUCCAGACAGCUCAUCAACAAGUUCAUCAAAAAUAGGAAUGGGAAAUUGACCACGAAUUGUGAGUGUCGACACAUGGUCGCCAGGAACCAUCCUUUUUCUUGACUAGCAACAGUGGGGAAGAAAAGGGGCUAGUAAUGGGUCUAAUAAUUCCCUUGUCGAGCAUCUCUUGAAUUUGCUUUUCAAUUUCAUCUUUAAGGGCUGGUGGAUAGCGGUAUGGCCGAAUAAAAACAGGUUUUGCUCCAGGCACCAGAGGGAUGAAAUGAUCAAAUAGUCUAGGCGGUGGCAAGCCAUCUAUAGGGGCAAAGACUGCAGCAAACUCUGAAAGGAGGGCAGCAAUUUGUGGGGGGAGGUCUUGCCCAUUGGGAUCUGGUUGGUGAGAAGAAUCAAUGGGACAAACUUGAACCAUGAGGGUAUUUGGAUCAGAAGAGAGACCAUGCAGAACUGCUGAAGACCCAUGGUAAGGUAUGGACAUCCAUUUGAGUUUCUAGUGCACUUUCAUUGGGCUGAACUUCUCAAGCCAAUCCAUUCCUAAUAUAAGAUCAUAGUGGUCCAAGGGAAUAAUCUUGAUGUCAGAAACAAACUGAACUCCUGAAUAAACCAUGUCCCAUUUGGGAUAUGGGCCACACAUUGUAAGACAGCACCAUUAGCAACCUGAACCCGAACAGAGUCAGACAAGGGAACCACCCAUCCAGUUUGUGAGUAAUGUGGUGACUGAGGAAAGUAUGGGAGCUGCCUGAGUCAACUAAAAUUUUCAGAGGUAUAUUCUGGAUUGAUCCUUCCAAUUGCAUGGUGCGAGGGCCCUCGGUACCAGCUGAUGUAUCUUUGGAGAGUGCUAGAAAGAGCUGUUCCUAAAAAUGAUGAUCAGAACCAGCAUAAUUGACACUGUCAGGUCCCUGGGUGACUUUUGAAUGGCGUUGAGCUGUACAGUAGCUGAACACUUGUGGCCAUGGUGCCAUUUUCGGCACAUUUGUCACACAGUCCUCGAGCCCGCCGAUAAGCUCGAAGGGAAGCAAACUUGUCCAACUAAGACUUGUUGAAAUCUGUAGGAUGAGAGGCUGCAAUAGUAUUGGAAGGAGACAUCACAGCCUUGUCAAGACGGGGAGGGGUUGGCAGAGGUAAUGGUCCCCUUGGCGGAGGUCUUGGAGGAAAUCCCGGUUCGAGACGACGCCAAUCCCGUCGUUUGUAAGGAUCCGCCACUUCUUCCUGCAGCAAAGCAAGAGUGCAAUCAGUAUCGAGAGUGGAAGGAUGCUGAACUAGAACAGUGGAGCGAAUAUCAUCAUGUAAGCCAUCAAUAAAAUGAGUGAUGUAAUAUAGUUGAUCAAUAAAGUGGCCAUAAGCUAUGAGCUGAUCUAUUAAUUCAGUAAACUUGGCAACAUAUUCAGCAACGGUGCCAGUUUGCUUGAUGUGAAACAAUUGUCGGAUUAGGAGCUCUUGUUGGUCUCGCCCAAAUCUAUCAAUUAA